GAGGCGGCCGGGUGCGCUCACUGGCGUCAUCAUACGCACGUAUUUUGACGCUGGUGGGCGAGGACUCGGCCCUGGGCGCUCCUGGGUUUUCCGUCCCCGCUUUUGAGGACGAGGCCGAGGGGAGACCCACAGGCGCCCAGGCAGGUCACGGGCAGCAGGCAGCCGAGCCGGUGCCCUCCACCUCGCGGGAUGUCAGGCCACCUG